UGAAUAGUAAUAAAAUUAGGUAGUAAAAGAAGACUUGAAACUUAAAAGAUUUGGCGGUAUUUUAAACUAAUUAGAGGAAUCUGUUCUGUUAAAUCGACAAUACUCGUAAAAUCUUACUUUAAUUUCAGCUUGUAUAUCGUCGUCAUAAUAAUAUUUAUUAAUAAUUAUUUUGGGUAAUUUUAUUUUUGAUGUCAGAUCAAGGUUCAGUUUAUGUUAAAGAUAAGAAUGGAUUACAAUAUAUUAAUAUUUAUGGAUUCUAUUUUGAAAGGGUAGAUGAAAGUGGAUUUAAAAGUAUUAAAGAAGGAAUGUGUUUUUUUGAAUAAGCUCUAGAAUAUGC
rnacentral:rRNA from 1 species